UACGGGGGGGGGCAAGCGUUGUUCGGAAUUACUGGGCGUAAAGGGCUCGUAGGCGGCCAACUAAGUCAUACGUGAAAUCCCUCGGCUUAACCGGGGAACUGCGUCUGAUACUGGAUGGCUUGAGUUCGGGAGAGGGAUGCGGAAUUCCAGGUGUAGCGGUGAAAUGCGUAGAUAUCAUUUGGAACGCCAAUGGUGAAAACAGGUAGCUGGGAGUGUGCUGACGCUGAGACACGAAAGCCAGGGGAGCAAACGGG
rnacentral:rRNA from 1 species